rnacentral:rRNA from 1 species
GAACGGCAGCAUGAAUUAGUUUACUAAUUUGAUGGCGAGUGGCGGACGGGUGAGUAACGCGUAGGAAUAUGUCUUAUAGAGGGGGACAACUUGGGGAAACUCAAGCUAAUACCGCAUGAACUCUGAGGAGGAAAGCUGGGGACCGCGAGGCCUGGCGCUAUAAGGGUAGCCUGCGUCCGAUUAGCUAGUUGGGGAGGUAAGAGCUCAUCCAAGGCGACGAUCGGUAGCUGGUCUGAGAGGAUGACCAGCCACACUGGGACUGAGAUACGGCCCAGACUCCUACGGGAGGCAGCAGUGGGGAAUAUUGGACAAUGGGGGGAACCCUGAUCCAGCAAUGCCGCGUGUGUGAAGAAGGCCUGCGGGUUGUAAAGCACUUUCAGUGGGGAGGAUGUUGUUAUAGGUUAAGAGCUAAUAAUGAUGACGUUACCCAGAGAAGAAGCACCGGCUAACUCCGUG